rnacentral:rRNA from 1 species
GGCAACGGAUAUCUCGGCUCUCGCAUCGAUGAAGAACGUAGCGAAAUGCGAUACUUGGUGUGAAUUGCAGAAUCCCGUGAACCAUCGAGUCUUUGAACGCAAGUUGCGCCCGAAGCCAUUAGGCCGAGGGCACGCCUGGCUGGGGCUCACACGUCGUUGCCCC